GCUUGCUUGGUGGAUCAGUGGCGAACGGGUGAGUAACACGUGAGCAACCUGCCCUGGACUCUGGGAUAAGCGCUGGAAACGGCGUCUAAUACUGGAUAUGAGACGUGAUCGCAUGGUCGUGUUUGGAAAGAUUUUUCGGUCUGGGAUGGGCUCGCGGCCUAUCAGCUUGUUGGUGAGGUAAUGGCUCACCAAGGCGUCGACGGGUAGCCGGCCUGAGAGGGUGACCGGCCACACUGGGACUGAGACACGGCCCAGACUCCUACGGGAGGCAGCAGUGGGGAAUAUUGCACAAUGGGCGGAAGCCUGAUGCAGCAACGCCGCGUGAGGGAUGACGGCCUUCGGGUUGUAAACCUCUUUUAGCAGGGAAGAAGCGAAAGUGACGGUACCUGCAGAAAAAGCGCCGGCUAACUACGUGCCAGCAGCCGCGGUAAUACGUAGGGCGCAAGCGUUAUCCGGAAUUAUUGGGCGUAAAGAGCUCGUAGGCGGUUUGUCGCGUCUGCUGUGAAAUCCCGAGGCUCAACCUCGGGCCUGCAGUGGGUACGGGCAGACUAGAGUGCGGUAGGGGAGAUUGGAAUUCCUGGUGUAGCGGUGGAAUGCGCAGAUAUCAGGAGGAACACCGAUGGCGAAGGCAGAUCUCUGGGCCGUAACUGACGCUGAGGAGCGAAAGGGUGGGGAGCAAACAGGCUUAGAUACCCUGGUAGUCCACCCCGUAAACGUUGGGAACUAGUUGUGGGGACCAUUCCACGGUUUCCGUGACGCAGCUAACGCAUUAAGUUCCCCGCCUGGGGAGUACGGCCGCAAGGCUAAAACUCAAAGGAAUUGACGGGGACCCGCACAAGCGGCGGAGCAUGCGGAUUAAUUCGAUGCAACGCGAAGAACCUUACCAAGGCUUGACAUAUACGAGAACGGGCCAGAAAUGGUCAACUCUUUGGA
rnacentral:rRNA from 1 species